GAUUGGCUGCGGGGCCGCAGCACGUCGCGGUGGGCGAGACCUGCGUUCGCCACGCCCCCACCGGCCUCCGCGCGCUCAACCCAACGCCUCUGCUCGUGCUUAGGGCACCUAGAGUGUGUCCUCGGUUCAGGGACACCACGGGCAGCUGGCAAGUCAAAGAAUCCUAUUUCAGUGGCUCCUUUCCCUCAGUUACCAAGUGAGACGCACUUCACUCAGUGUUGGGCCGUCCAGGUGUAAGUGCCAGAUCCGUAACGGCCUGAGAGUCCCUGAGUGCCUUCAGAUGAGGGUUUUGGUUGUCUGAAACAAGGCCUCAACACAAAGCACAUGCUGGCCUCAAACAGUUGAUCCUUCUGCCUCCAAAGCAAAUAUUUUAUCUUGUGUCAGAGUCUUGCUAUAUGACUUAGACUGGUCCUGAACUCUCCAUCAUCUUGUCUCAACCUUCCCAUUGGCUGGAACACAAAGCCUGAAAGAGAUACCACUUAUCCUGAGGCUGGAGAAGACAUACCUCGCUCAUCCAGGAGGAUAUUCUCCAUCUGAAAUCAUGGCACAAGGACCAGUUCAGCUGCAAAGAGACGGAUGGAAGCCUCUGGAAAACCACCAACAGCAGACCACAGAGAGUAGAGAUCCAUGCUGCAGUAGCUACACACUGCGAAGCACCAGAAGUCUAGGCAAUAUCUGGGGUCUAUAAUGCCUGGGCUCAAGACAUUAUAGACCUCCUGCCCAAACUAAUCCCACCAGCCUUUUCCCUCUUCUUUUGGAGUACAGAAAUGCUAUGAGGAGUGGAACCAAGCAAAGGCAGAAUAGUGUCAGGUUGGGAGAAUGGUCUGUGGACCUUUGUGGAUGAAGACAAAAGCCCAGUCCACUCACUAAUGAAGAGGUGUCGCCUUCCCUGCCAGCUGUCCCCCAAGCUGUGUACAAAAGGAUGGUUGAUCUGUCGCUAGAGACAAAGAAAAAAGCAAAUUAGGAGAGCAGGCUUAUCGAUGAUAAAGACAGCCAAGAAAGCAGGUGUUGCCUUGUGUAGAAACCAACUGAUCAGAGUUUAUUUGGGACUACCUCCCUGGGAACUCUGGAGCCAGCACACUACUAAGGAGCAUGCCAAUGUAAUGUUGGCAAGUUCCCUGGCAGAACCUGGAGUGUGUCUGCAGCUACUUUUCUCAGGAUUUACUUUGGUGCUACAUUACACCAAGAUGGAAACAUAUGGGGAAGGUAGAGCCAAGAAAAGCAGGUAAGUUGGACAAAGGAAGGGACCUUCUCCACCAGCAAUUUAGUUCUUCCAGCCAUGCUUUCAGAAUUCUGCAUACCUGGAUGCUAACCUCCUCUUUGCACUGCCUCAGGGUAUCCCGCUGUAGGACUUUUACUUUGGGCACCACCUACAAAUGGAGAGGCAUGAUAACUCAUGGAAAUGCUGUCCAAUUUAUUUCUCCUAAUCUCUGAAAUGAAGAUUGUAAACAAUAACUACUAAGUAAGUGGAAUACCUAGCUAGACUCCUACCUUCACUGCAAAUACAGCUUUUUGGGCACAAUCUAGCACUUUCAGGACAGUUCCAAAAGAGCCUUUAGCCACAAGGCCUAAAAUCUGAACAAAGAAAUGGAGAAGACACCUGAGACGGGUUGUUUCUAGAUUCCUCCCAAAGAUACACUUCCCAGGGACUCCAGUGACCUACCUUCAGGUCCUGCUGCCCCCUAACAGGCCUCAUGGGAAACUCUGGUAGAAAAAGGCUGAUGAACUGAGGCACUGGCCACUCAGACAGAGGUUUCUCUAGUGGCAGUGGGGCUGGCUGGAGCGACUCCUGAUGCCUCUGAAGCUCCCAUAGUUCUUCCAGACCUGACCUGAUGGUCCCCAUACCACACCAGAGGCUCUUCCAGCCUUGGGCCCAGGGACCCUGGAUGUUGCCACCCUGCCGAGAAGGGAGCCAUUCUGAGUCUGCUCCAUGAGGCACCGCAGGGUUGGGUUUUGUUUUUCGAGGCAGAAUUUCUCUGUGUAGCCCUGGCUGUCCUGGAACUCACUCUACAGAGCAGGCUGGCCUGGAACUCAAGAGAUCCUCCUGCCUCUGCCUGCACAUCCACUGCUUGGCAGGCACUGCAGGGUCUACCAGUCUUAACAGGUGCUCCUUCCCAAGUCUUAACCUCUAAAGCAGUGGUUUUCAAGCUGAAGCCCUUUAAUACAGUUCUUCAUGUUAUGGUGACCCCCCAACCAUAAAAUUAUUUUCAUUGCUAUGUAAUAACUGUAAUUUUGCUGUUACAGACCACAAUGUAAAUAUCUGAUGUGACCCCACUGAAAGGGCUGUUUCACCCCAAAGUGGUCAUGACCCAUUAAGAACCAGUGCUCCAGAGAAAGGAAAAUUCCCAGGCUUUGUGAUGUUAACCUAGAUUUCCUCAACAUAAUUCAAAAUCUUGAUGACAUAAAUUGUGUUUUCUUCAUGACAAACCA